UAACCUGCCCAAGAGAUCGGGAUAACACCUGGAAACAGAUGCUAAUACCGGAUAACAACAGAUGAUGCCUAUCAACUGUUUAAAAGAUGGUUCUGCUAUCACUCUUGGAUGGACCUGCGGUGCAUUAGCUAGUUGGUAGGGUAACGGCCUACCAAGGCGAUGAUGCAUAGACGAGUUGAGAGACUGAUCGGCCACAUUGGGACUGAGACACGGCCCAAACUCCUACGGGAGGCAGCAGUC
rnacentral:rRNA from 1 species